CCUGCCAUCUCAGGUGAGGUGAAUCCCAAUGAUGAACAAGCUUUUGGUGAAAAUAGGUUGUUUCUGAUGGAGAGGAUGUGGAGAAACGGGAGCCUUCUUGCACUGUUGGUGGGAAUGCAAACUGGUGCAGCUGCUCUGGAAAACAGUGUGGAGGUUCCUCAAAAAAUUAAAAAUAGACCUACCCUAUGACCAGCAAUAGCACUGCUAGGAAUUUACCCAAGGGAUACAGGAGUACUGAUGCAUAGGGGCACUUGUAUCCCAAUGUUUAUAGCAGCACUUUCAACAAUAACCAAAUUAUGGAAAGAACCUAAAUGUCCAUCAACUGACGAAUGAAUAAAGAUGUGAUUUAUAUAUACAAUGGAAUACUACUUGGCAAUGAGAAAGAAUGAAAUCAUGCCAUUUGCAGCAACGUGUAUGGAACUGUAGGGUAUUAUGCUAAGAGAAAUAAGUCAGUCAGAGAAAGACAGAUACCAUAUGUUUUCACUCAUACGUGGAUCUUGAGAAACUUAACAGAAGACCAUGGGGGAGGGGAAGGGGAAAAAAUUACAGAGAGGGAGGGAGGCAAACCGUAAGAGACUCUUAAACACUGAGAACAAACUGAGGGUUGAUGGGGGGUGGGGGAGAGGGGAAAGUGGGUGAUGGGCAUUGUGGAGGGCACCUGUUGGGAUGAGCACUGGGUGUUGUAUGGAAACCAAUAUGACAAUAAGUUAUAUUCAAUAUAAAAAAAAAGAAAAGAAAAUAGGUGGUUCCUUGAGAGUUCAUUUCCCCAGGGUUUCGGCAUGAAGCCACCUCAGCUACAAACACAGUCUCACUGGUGUCUUUGUCUUGAUUAAAGAUGAAAACCCAACUUAAACACAUUCCCAACCUGCUUGGGGGAUUCUCCCCAUAUAAUGCCUUCUUUUACCUUUGUGCAGAUGGAAUAGAUGGAAAUAAUCACUCUCCUUGGGAGACACUUUGGCAAGUGGUCCUUAGCAUGGAAUUGCCUCUCUCCCUCUCUUCAAAUAUAACUCAUUCUUGUGGGAUUUUUUUUCUUAGCUCAGGCUGCUAUUAAAUUAGCAUAGAGUGGCUUAUGAACAACAGACAUUGUUUCUCACAGUCCUGGAGGCUGGGAGGUCCCAGACGAAGAUGUGGAUGGAUUCUGCGUCUGGUGAGGGCCCUCUUUUUUUGCUUGCAGAUGGUUGUCUCCUUGCUGUGUCUUCACACGACAGAGAGAAAGAUCACCCCUUUCACGUCUCUACUUGUAUGAGCACUAAUCCCACUCACAAGGGCUCCACCCUUAUGACCUCAUUACCUCGCAAAUGUCUCACCUUCAAAUGCUGUCACGCUGAGGAUUAGGGCUUCCACAUAUGAAUUUGUGGGGAGACGCAAGCAUUCAGUCCGUAGCAGAGUUUAUUCCUGAGUUACAAAAACUCAAGACAAAACAAAACAAACCCAGAGCUCUGAACAGAUAAGAGACUCUCAGCGGGCUAAGGCCAUGGGGGACAUGGAGAUCCAUGAGGUGACGUGUAUUUGACUACCUGCCCUGUUGGCUCUCACACCUGCUGCAUCACUGUCUGUGGUUGCCCUGGAGACCCAAUCAUUUGAAGGCUUUGUGGGAGGCAUGUUAAACCAUAUAGGCAGUCAGAGCAGCAUUUAGGGUCACAUGUGACGCAGGACUCCUUUUUCAUGUCAAAUUUUGUUUUACACACCUGUUGUUAGGGCAUGAUAUCUACACGGAGUGGGGAUGAUGUCUGCCACAGCAGGUACCAGGCUAAACACCUCUCAGGAGGAUCACAAAUGAAGACAAACUGGGUCCAUUAAGUUGUUUUUUUUUUUUUUUAAUAAAUGAUUCUCCUACUUCCCCUCCCUUGGGCUUUUUUUAAUUAGUCUGUCAUACUAUUAGCAUCUGUCUUACUUUCUCCUUUAGGACAAAGAAUAAAGUCAGUUGCUUUAGAAGAAAGUAUAAACAUCUUGCCAAACAAAGAGGAAAACUGAGCUUUUUGGAAUGUGCAUGGCCCAAUUAAAUGGGAAAAAGUGGAGCUGACCCCAAGUCAUGGAAACAGUAGUUAUAGAAUGGAUAAACUCUUCAACAGGGAAAUCUUAGACUCUGUCUGGUGUGGGCAUCAUCGCAUAAACGUCUCCCAUAAGCCACACACACACCACUUAGCCAAAUCCAAAUGAGAUUACGAUGCUUGUAGGGAGCUUGAAUCUAUGUACACAACCUAUAAACAGACUGAAUACUGUGGGCCAACUGUGUUGUUAGAGAGUUCCUCUAAAACAGUGGAGGUAGGGUCUGAGAUUAUUCGCCACUGCAAGGGUAUAGGUGGGAUAUGGGGAAUGGAAGACUUUCCAAGAAAUCUGCUUUUACUAAGAGGGGUCCUCCUCUAGGCCUCUCUCUGGAACAAACCUCCUGCCAUGACCUGUGGUGGUUGCAGGGACAACUCACCUAAAAUAGGAUUGAGCCUAGAGCAGAGCAGUCUGUGGAAGUAACACAGAGUGUGUGGCAGAGAGAAAUAGCUAAACCAGGCUGUUUGUUUCAAAGUGCUGAAAUUCUCUGGGCUGCCUGAUGAGCAAAGUGCAGUAAACCUAAGGGAUUUGGCCUUGGCUGGAAUUGAUCAGACAUGUGUUGCACACAAUGGCAAAUAGGUUUUUACCGGCACUGUAAGCCUACCCAGUUCAUAAAUGCUCAGUGGAGUAUUGCGUUGAGGAGGAUCCCGAGGCUGUAUCGAGCCCAACGGGAAAGAGGGCUGUGAACAGUGUGGCAAUAUCUACAAUGGACCAGGGAUGGAAGAGUAAUGGCCAGGUGCCAUAUACCUACCAUCUCUGAACCACACACUGAUACUGAAAAUUUUGGGUCUAGAAAAAUAGGUUGGAAUUGAGUCAUGGGAAACUUUGAAUAUUAGACCAAAGAGUCUGGCCUUUAUUUUGAGAAAUGUUGUGGUUCAUUUGUUCAGAACAGUAGUUCUAAAAAUAGGGAAUGUAAAUGCCUUGAGCAAGAUUCAUUCUCUCCACUUGUCAGCAGGCCUACAUUGCUCCCUGUUGUCCUAAACAUUCAGUCACAUCUUACACUUAAAUCACCUGAAGGUAUUUGAGUUUGCAGCCCUGUUGCAGGAGUUGGAGAAUAGUUGAUGGAUCGUGAGUUGGAAAAUGACAUGCUCAGAACAUACUUUAGGAAGAUUAUUCUUGCAGAGAUGUGAAAGAUGGAUUGGAGGGGGGAAAAGGACAGAAACUUCAAUACUAGUUAAAGAAGUCCCUGGAACCUUCCAUCUAAGAGUUAUACAUGCAUACCUAACCUAGAACUGUGGAAAUAAAAAGUGAUCUAAGAGAUGUUGUAGAAGUUAUAUCAAGGUGUAGGUCGGGUGUAGGAGAUGGAGAGAAGAGAGACUUCAAAAUGAUGUCAAAGUAUACACCUGGGACUGAUUGGAGACUGGCGAUACCAUUCACAGAAAUAGGGAAUUCAAGUAGAAGAAUAAAUUUAGACUGGAAUGUGGAGAAGAAGCAGAUGAGCAGGUGAAUUUUAGCACCCAGUUAUUUUUCUGAUGCUGUUACUGUUACAGAUGGUCUUGCUCACAGCACAUUUCCUUGAGAAAAGCUGUUGGUUGAACAUGGUAUCUUGUUUUAUCUUUCCUAAGACUAAUGGAGGGAAUCCGAUUUGGACAGCUGGCUGAGGUUAAAGGUUUAGUCUGUGGCCAUGGAAUGAAGCCAUAUUAACUGGGAUGAAAUCUGUGCCCUUGACCAGAAGAGCAAAGGACUAACUGGUAAUCACCUUCAGCCAUUUCUGUUACGGCAUCUAAUCAGGUAUUGGCUUCCUGUCCUCAACACUUUGCCAGCUGGAUGGUCACCUUGCCUUAUUGCCUGGCACAAGUAUGGAUGGAUGUCCCACUGUUGCACUUGUUUGAUGCUUCAUCCCUCUUGAUCCAGUAGGAGAUUGAUUGGAUGAGCAUGAUGGGGAAGUAUGCUAGGUCGAUAAGUGUGGGUGCAUACGGUCUUGCUAGAUGCUUAGUUUUUCACCCUCCUGUCCAUCCAGUCUCUGAGAUCUGCUUCAUGAUGCCAGAUGGUGAGUUUGCUAAUGGUACUUGCUACACAUCUCCCACCCAGCAUCUUCUCACUGAUGCUUGAUGCCAAGACCUAUUCUCACCUGGCUCUGAGUCCUGGUUCAGUUAUCAGCUAACUUAGUGGCUUGGUAUGACCUUUUUAUUGUUUUUCAUGAUCCAUAGGUUGACUGGGGUUCAGGUAGAUGUCUCACAGGAUGCUCACAAAGCUGUGGAUGGGGCUGGAAUAUCCAAGAGGCUUCAUUCACAUGUCUGGCCCUUUGACAAGGACAACUGGAAGCUGGAGCCCAUAAGCCGAGCUACUGAUGGCUGAGUCUCUUGCUCUCACUGUGUAGUCUCAGGUCUCUCCUUUUCCCUGUGGCUCCUUCACAUGGUCUCUCCAGCAGUAGCAGGUUGGCUGAACUUCUUACAUGGCACCGAGGGAUUUCCAAAGCACAAUUCAGAAGCUGUCAUGGCUUCUGAUGACUUAGGCCCAGAACUGGCACAGAGUUGCUUCUGCCUCGUAUUGGUCAAACCAAGUCAUGCAGCCACCCUAGAUUUAGAGUGGGAAGGCACUAUGCAAGGAUGUGAAUAUUGGGAGGCACAACUGACAGGCCAUUGGAUGUCCCCACUUCUACCUCAGAAUAAAGUCCUCUGGGGGCGCCUGGGUGGCUCCAUCAGUUAAGUCCAACUCCUGAUUUUGACUCAGGCCAUGAUCUCAUGGCUUGUGAAUUCAAGACCUGCCUAGAACUCUGUGCUGACAGCAUGGAGCCUGCUUGGGAUUCUCUCUCUACCCUUCUCCCCUCAAAAUAAAUAAAUAAACAUUAAAAAAAAAAAAAGAAUACAGUCCUCUGAGGACCUCUGUGAACUACCUCCCACAGUGUCUGACCUCAACUCCAUCCUCCCUCCUUCCCUCACUUCUCUCUAGCUCCUCUGGCCCCCUUCAGCCUGAGACAGAUGGAAGGAAGCUUUCAGUGAGGUAUUGGCGGGAGCCUGAGUGAGUCUUGCCAGACAUGUAGGAAUCAUUUAGGUAGGCAAGUAAUGGUAAGGGAAUACCAAGAGAGGUUAAAACAUUUAAGAGCGCUGAAGAUUUUGAAAAUUACCAGUCAUGUGGUGAGAACAUAGAGUAAGUAAUGGUGUAUUGUGGAAGAUGAGGCUAAAAGAGACAAGGAAGAGCCAGCUGACAUAAAAUUAUGUGUCGAGCCAAAGAAUUUCAGUUUGGUUCCUUAGGUAUUAAAGAGUUGUAGGUAGGAAACACUUGAUUGGAUUUGAAUGUUAGAAAGAACACUCUUUGGGAUUUUGGGAGAUGCAGUAGAGACUGUAGAGAUUUAAAAAACAGAGAUACCAAUUAGGAGGUUAUUACAAACUAUCAGGAAAGACAUGUUGAAGGUCUUAGCAAGGCUAUCCCUAGAGUGCAUGAGUCCCUGGGCAAGAUAUUUUGGGGGAACCCUGUCUAUAUAAAAAAAUUGAUUAAAAAUGUAUUACCAAGCUUAUGAGUCCAUAAAAGAUGAUUAACUUAUGGUUUAAGAAAUGGGUGAAGUAGAGAUUCUCAUAAUUGUUUUCUAUCCAAUCAGUGCAUAAAAAGAUUCUUUCUAGUAUCCUGGGCCCCAUCUGCUCCUAUUCAGGUUUAGGAAGUAUCUCUUCAUGCUCUGUUGUGUUGAAUAUGAGGUUCUUGGCUAAUUUAUAUCUCCCAUGGCAAGAAAGGGUAGCAACACAGUUCUUACAAUGUCAUGGCUCUUGGUGAGCUGUUUAUAUAGAAGUAAUACAGAUCUUUUUUUUAUUAUUUAACUUUUUGAAAUGUUUAUUUAUUUCUGAGACACAGAGACAGACAGAGUGCAAGCCGGGGAGGGGCAGAAAGAGAGGGAGACACAGAAUCUGAAGCGGGGUCCAGGCUCUGAGCUGUCAGCACAGAGCCCAAUGCGAGACUCGAACCCACAAACUGUGAGAUCAUGACCUGAGCCGAAGUCAGAUGCUUAACUGACUGAGCUACCCAGGCACCCCAAUACAGAUCUUUUUAUUCCUAUAAUUCAUCAACAUCAGUUAUUUCAUGCCUGUUACAUCAUCACUCAUGAUGUGACAUCAUCCAUUGUGCUGCUCUGAAUACUGGCUUGCAAUGUUUCUGUCAUGGGUUGUUAUUCUGUGUCAUUGGCGAUGACCACAAAUGCAAGUUUUGCUCAAGGUAUGCACAAAAAUGUGAACGAUAAUUUGUUUUCUGCUCAUAUUAAAUUUGUUGAUAAGAAUUUUAUACCUUAAAUGUAAAAUAGCACAUAUUUUAACCAUGCCUUCUCUUGAACUCUUUAGGCUGUAACCCCUGCAUUCCUAGAAUGUCAUCUCUUUUAGUGUUGAUCCCACUCCUGUCUUCCACCACCACCUGCAAAGAGGAUAGGAGAUGAGCCUCCGAGCCUGUCGGGAAGAGCAUAGUCCCAAUAGCCAUGCAAUGUCCAUCCCUCAUCUGGCAGGCCUUAAGAACAACCUGGGAGAGCACAAUGCCACCAUAUCAAUCCAAAGGAGAGAAAGGACAUUGAUCAGAAGGCCCAGUGUUAUUGCACAGCAACAAUUUCAAAAGCCCUUGGAGGAGACAGGCCUGGCCAUUACUAGGAGACUCUCUGACACGUGGUGCAGAACCUGAAAAAGGAACAGGGCAACUGCCUUGGAUGCCAGAAGCAAGAGAGGUCGGGGGUAAUGGAUUCCUGCCACCACUGCCAAUAACCUUGGAUGCUGGGACCAGGGAUGGACUGCAGUUGGAGCAUAGAUACUCAGGAGCAAAAGCACGGGCUCACGUGGGCAGUUCAAGCCCAAAGACAGGCAGUGGACUGUCAGUAACCAAAAAUCCUGAAUUCUUAUGUCUGCUGUUAGUGUCCGUAACUGAAAAUUAGAGUACCAGCGCUAUUCUGGCAACAGAGUCUUGAAUGAUCCUGUGAAGGAAAUACUGCACUGGCCAGUAGGAACAUUCUGCCUGUUGGGCUGCACUUCUGGAACUGAGACCCAGCCAUGUGCCCCAGAACAGUCCCGCAGUGGCUGGCUCCAAAGUCCUUUGGGACAAUUGGCUGCCAACCGCACACACCGGGUAGAGUUACAGAGAGCUCUCUGAAGAGGAGAAACAGGGACCAGGAAGCGUGUGGGCUAAGAACGCCAGUCCUAGGUACUAGAGGAGACUCAGAAAACUUUGAGGCCUUUGAGGAAGGCCCUUUAAAACACGUGGCCUGUUUUGUCACAGGACCUUAGACAGGUGGCCUGCUUACCCAUGUCUAAGAGCAGUUCUUGCAGUUUUAAAGGGCACCAGAAUAAAUACGUGGGGUUCAUUUGAGAGACUCUUAGAAGAUGCUAAGGGAAGUGACCAUAACAAUGAUUGCCAAACUCUUCUCCACAUCCUGAACAUAAAUAUUUUUUCAAACAAAUCUUCUAUGGAACACCAAACAUCUGUGUAAAACAGAUACAAGCUCAGAUGUGGUAGAUGAAGUUGGGACAUGAGGCGUCAGAAUCUAGCUGACAGCCCAUGUUCAGUAUUCCUACCCCCGAGACACCUAGGAAGACCUCAGGGCUCCACGGAACACAGUUUGAAACCCACGUAUGUAAAGAACAGACUGGGGCGCCUCGGUGACUCAGUUGGUUAAGCGCCUGACUCGACUUUGGCUAAGGUCAUGACCUCACAGUCUGUGAGUUCGAGCCCUGUAUCAGACUCUGCACUGACCGUGCAGAGCCUGCUUGGGAUUCUCUCUUCCUCCCUUUCUCUCUGCCCUUCCCCUGCUCAUGCUCUCUCGCUCUCAAAAUAAAUAAACUUAAAAGAUAGAGUAAAGAAGAGGCUGCUGGUGGAUAUUAAGGCUGACUUGCUGUUCACCCCACUAUGAAGAUUGCAGCCACCUGCUAAUAUCUCCCCGUGGUGCUUUCUAAUCUACUUUGAAAGUUUCUAGAAGAACUUAAGCCACUUAAAAAAAAAAACAAAAACAAAACACUUUUUCAGGGCUGCCUGGGUGACUCAGUUGGUUGAGCAUCAGACUCUUAAUUUUGGCUCAGGUCAUGAUCCCAGGGUUGUGGGUUCAGGCUCCGUGCUGAGCGUGGAGCCUGCUUCUCUCUCUCUCUCUCUCUCUCUCUCUCUCUCUCUCUCUUUGCCCCUCUCCCUGGCUCACACUCUCUUUCUAAAAUUAAAAUAAACAAAUAAACAAAACCAAUGCUUUCACUUCCUCUUUUUCCUGAGGAAUCCAAUUAAAAUCUUUAUUAAAGUCUUGCUGUUCUUCCCUGCUUGCAACCCUUGCUAUAUAAGCCCAUACAAAAAACCUAGGGAAGAGAGUUGUUAUUUACAGAUAAGUUAUUACGACUCCAAAAAAAAAAAAAAAAAAAAAAAGGAAAUACCAAAAGAAAAUAGUCCACGCGAACCCUUACAACCCAACUGAAUCAGAGUAAGUAUCCCAGUAAGUCUCAAACACCUGUGCUUGGUUCUGUGUUGAGGAGGGUGUCCUUGCAAUUCUAUUGAAGACUCACUUGGAAAUGAUUUAUUUUUUCUGGAAGGUCAUGCAACUUCUUUUUUCCAGAAUCCCUUUACCAAAUGGCUCCAGGAGCGUUUCACUGUGUUCCGGAGAACAGUAAAGCUAUUGUGCCUUAAGCUGGAAUGACUAACAGCGAAGGAGGCCGACCUUCCUGCCCUGAACCAGAGAUAAAAGGGCUGCUUUGAAAUUCUGGCUGUCCAGUUGACAGUAUUUUCAUUAUUUCUGUGAAGCCUGACACUGGAAAUCUUUGAUGGGAGGAGCGCUUUGUGUCCUGCACGCAGGGCAAGUCAGCUAACAUCGUGCAUAUGCUACCUGUCCCGACACUUCCAGAGGCUAACGGCUGAUGACCUAUAUAAAGGAGACUUCACUACAGAUGUACAGACAAAACCCAAGCAGUCUGCGAUGAUAUCAGACCGAAACUGCCCCCUGAAGAAAAUGUGAACAGCCGAGAGGAAUCUGUUUCAGCGGCCUGCAAGCCAAGGUCUGUCUAAAAAUUGAGAGGAGGGACGCAGAGAGUGAAAAUCGCAACAGAAGCGGGCCUACUCCGCUGGUAGACGGAGUGAGUUCACGGAAGAGCAUUUGCAUAUUCAGCCUCUCCUGAGGAGCUGAACACACAGGAAACACUGAGAAAUGUUGCUGCUUUCAGAAGCAUCAAGAUGUAACUCCAAACAAAAGCUUUGUGCCCUGCAACUAGCUGUCCUUCUUCAUCUGGUGAGCAGCAUUCGUGGGUUCUCAAUCCCAUCUCUAGAAAACUAGUUGUCCCAGGUAGAGAAGCCACAAACUCUCCAGGACCUCCAGGACCUCUGUCUCCAGGGACUCGGAGUCAAUGGCUGCCCUCCAGCACUGACACUGGACCGUCACUCGCUUUUUCUCCAUUCCUUUUUCUUUUAAAUCGAGUGCAGGGGUCAAAAGGAACGGCUUCUGGGAGGAUAGACAGAACAGUUUCGCUCAACACAACGUAAAGGUUUUACAGGAAAUAUUUGCUGUUUCAUGUAUAAUUGAAUAAAAACGUAACGAAUGUC